rnacentral:rRNA from 1 species
UACGGAGGGGGCUAGCGUUGUUCGGAAUUACUGGGCGUAAAGCGCACGUAGGCGGAUCGUUAAGUCGGGGGUGAAAUCCUGGAGCUCAACUCCAGAACUGCCUUCGAUACUGGCGAUCUAGAGUCCGGAAGAGGUGAGUGGAACUCCUAGUGUAGAGGUGGAAUUCGUAGAUAUUCGCAAGAACACCAGUGGCGAAGGCGGCUCACUGGCCCAUAACUGACGCUGAGGCACGAAAGCGUGGGGAGCAAACAGG